rnacentral:rRNA from 1 species
GUUAACACGUGGGGGUAACCCUGCCCAAGAGAUCGGGGAUACACCUUGGGAAACAGAUGCUAAUACCGGAUAACAACAGAUGAUGCCUAUCAACUGUUUUAAAGAUGGUUCUGCUAUCACUCUUUGGAUGGACCUGCGGUGCAUUAGCUAGUUGGUAGGGGUAACGGGCCUACCAAGGCGAUGAUGCAUAGCCCGAGUUUGAGAGACUGAUCGGGCCACAUUGGGACUGAGACACGGGCCCAAACUCCUACGGGAGGCAGCAGUAGGGGAAUCUUCCACAAUGGACGCAAAGUCUGAUGGAGCAAAACGCCGCGUGAGUGAAGAAGGGUUUCGGCUCGUAAAAGCUCUGUUGUUGGUGAAGAAGGACAGGGGUAGUAACUGACCCUUUGUUUGACGGUAAUCAAUUUAGAAAGUCACGGGCUAACUACGUGCCCAGCAGCCGCGGUAAAU